AAUUUGGGGAUUGGCGGAACAAGCCCCUUAUACUCUCAUCCGAAAGAGCAGUUGUGUUGGACUCUGUGACCCCAUUUGGGGUUUUCUUGGCAAAGAUAUUGGAGCGGUUUGCAAUUUCCUUGUCCAGCUUAUUUGACAGAGAUGGAAACUGAGGCAAACAAGGUUAAGCGACUUGCCCACAGUCACCCACCUAGUAAGUCUCUGAGGCCAUUAGAUGAGUCUUCCUGGUUCCCUUUCCACAAGGUUAGGAGAAAGGAACCUUGCUUCUCCCGGUUCCGUGCAGCAGAGGGCGCAGUUGCCCACCCACCAGGCCUGCGCCUGCCCAGACUAGGCGGAAGUGACGCAAAAGGUUUUGCUUUAUAAAUCCUCUCCCUGGCUUCCUUUCUUCCUUUCGCAGUUCCGUCAUGGAGUCAGCUGCUGCUUUCCACGUUUUGCAUGUUCGCCAUCCCCUGCCAUGUGCCCUUCCAUGGCGCCCUGGCUCCUGGAGACUUGAUUCUACCUGAGUUUCCGCGGCAGAGGAACAGUGAGAGCUGAGCCAGGCCUGUCUCCCGUGAAAUCUGGGUUCCCAUAGACCCCCUCUGCGGGGAGGCGGCCCCUGGACUUCGGGAAUCACAUACGCGUGGAUCGCAGGGUGGCCUUUUCAGUCGAUUAAGCCCAUCUUCCCAGAGGCAUGGCCUCAGGAUGGUACCUUCACAGGACUCAACUUAUUUGACCUGCAUUGUGGAAUACCAUAAAACACCAAGAAGAAAAGUAGGCAUUUGCAGUGUAUAACUCGGGAUCUGGAAUUCAUGUCAGUCUGACUCUUUUACAUUGUUACUAAGAAUAGGUGAGAAGUUAAGCCUGUUAAACCUGAUUAGGAACAGAAUUCUUGUCCUGAUAGACCAGAUUCAAAGCACUUUGCUCUUGCUUUUGAAACACCAUGAGGAAUAGAGAAGGAUUGAUUAUUUGCAUCUAGAAGGCUAAUUUACUUCAUGAUAUCUACCAGUAAGUACAAAGGCUUCCCUGAACACAAUCCCUAUUCUAGGACAGACCCUGCUAGUCAUUCAUCUAAGUUAUGAAAUCCAAUAUGAUAUCUUACCAUUAAUUUCCAUUUGGAAUAAAUUGUUUCCUCAAAAUUUGUGGAAUUUAAAUAUUAUCUUACAUUUUUGUUUGGGAAAUGUUGACUAAUUCUAGAUACACAAUACACAAAAACUUAAUUCAGCCCAUAACAAGUUGUACCGAUAAAUUGUUUCAACUAAAAAUAAAUUCUGUAAUGCUCAAAAAA